GUACUUUAACCACUGCACCACCAGGGCUCCUUACAUAUCAGAUAUGUAAAUACAUAUAUGCAGAUAGGGGGUAUAUAUAGAGAGAGAGCAUGCGCCACAUGGAAAUUCUAGAACUGAAAAGUACAGCAACUUCUCUAAACUGAAAAAUAGGAAGAAAAAUGAAAAGAACUUCAAGAACCUGUGGAGCAAUAUGAAAUGGUCUAAUACACAUAUAAUAGAAACUCCAGAAGGAGAAGACAGUAAGAAAGGAGCAGAAAAAUAUAUUUGAAGAAAUAAUGUCUGAAAUUUUCCAAAAAUUGAGAACACAUACUGACUUAAAGAUCUAGGAAGGCAGCAAAUGUCAAUCAGCAUAAACAUACAGAAAAUCACAUCUAGAUACAUCAUAGUCAAACUGCUGAAAAUCUAAGGUAAAAAUCUUGAAAGUAACCAGAGAAAAAAGGCAUACUGAACACAACAGAACAUAAUGAUGGCGUCGUUACAGUGUUGAAAUUAAAUAAACAGAAACAAACAGAAAAUUGUCAACUCAGAAUUCUAUAUUCACAGGAUUUUUUUUUAAAAGGUGAAAUAAAGGCAUUUUCAGAAAAAUAAAAGAUUAGAACAUGUAUCACCAACAGAUCUGCACCACGAGAAACGCUUAAGGAUAUCUUUGGGCUAAAGAGAAAUGAGACGAAUGGAAACAGAUCUACAGGAGUGAAGAAGUGCCCAGAAACGGCAAUGGCAGUGCUGUACCUUUUGACUAUACACUCAUGCGCUGCAUGACUUCCCUCUGCACAAUGUCGGGCCCAGCUAGCACCCUCCGGGGGAUGCCUGCAGCUCAACUUGGCAGCAAUGCCGCUCCGCUGUCCCUGACGGGUCUCCAAGUAAAGGAAAACCACCUGGCCAUUAACUGAACAUGAAUGAACUCAAGCAUCUUCCUUAAAAUAAAAUUUAACUGGGGCUUCCUAGAAUGAACACAACUUCACGUCAUAUUUUCCAAAAGUUAAAAAUCUCAGUAAACAAAAGAAAUCCUCAAUGGUAUAUUCCUCUUUGUUCUUCUGAUCAAAAUAAUAUGUUUCUCCCCCCUUAAAAAAAAUCUUGAUCUCAUUUCAGUUAUAUAUUUUAUGUUGUUUGCUGUGAUUGACUUUGUUUUCAAAAUGUGUACUCAAAUUCCUUUCCAAAAGUGUAUUUAUAGUGAAAAAAUAAGGCCUCCCUUCCCUGUAGAUCCUAAAGUAGUUUCUGGGAAGAUGGAAUGAACAGGGGAAAAUUGGAGUUUACACAUGUAUAAGUGAGAAAAUGUAAAAUUGAUGUUUUAAGAACUGAGAUGUGAUACUUCCUAGUUUCUGACUGGUGGUCAGUUCCUUCAUUUCUUUUCAUAUGCAGAUAUUAUAUAUUUUGUAGCAGAAAAGCCAUAUUUAAAAAUUUCUGAGUCUGUGGUCUUUUCUCCAUAACUGUCACCUGUUGGAGCUUGUGCCUGAAAAGACUGUAGUAUUACAGGUAACGGUAGGAAAAUUGGGAAUAUUGACAUGUGUUGACUAUUUCUUGCAGCUCUCAAGAAUGGAAUCUAAGGUUGAAGUUUAAACUAAAAGUGGCAUGCUUAAAUACAUAAAGGAAAGAAAAUAGAGCUUUCCUCUUUCUGCCUGUAAGCUGUAAUCUAAAGUGACUGAAAGUCCCAUAAUUUGGAGAUUUUCAAAGUUGGAAAUUCCAAUUUUAUACAAAAUCAGUGAAAAAAAGGACAGGAAGAAAGAAAUUUCACAGGAGACAAGGCUAAUACGAUUGGGACAAAAGCAAGUCUGAUCUUCAGUGCCUCUCUCUAAUAUCUCCUCUCAAACAUUCUUCACAAAACAAGAGGCACAAUCCAGUUUAGAGGCACCUGGAAAGCCUGGGAUUAUAGAAGGUGCUUUCCCUUUUCUACUCCGCUCCCUUUUCCAUCACAUGGCUAAUGCUAUCAAUUGCUUAAUGUAGAAGCCAUUAAACUUUGUAUUUGGGGUGGCAGAGCAUAGAGACUCAUGAUGAGAAGACACAGAUUGUGGAACUCACAGACCUCUUCAGACCAGAUUGUUAGCCUUUAUUGGUUGCCAGAAUGGAUCAUAAGCAAAUUUCAAACUUGACUGACCAAAGUUUGGGACCAUUCAAGCCCUAAGGUGGUCCUAACAUCAUAGAAUCUGUACCUGCAGGAAGUGGGCUGCUAAAUCUGGUGGCCUCCAAGGGAUAAUCUUCCCCAGUGCUCAUCUCAGAGGUAGACAUGAAAGAUGAUGGGCAAGGGAGAUCCUCCAGGAGAGCAGAACCAGGAGUGGCCCUACUGGCUGACUGAGAAACCCAUUCCACUCCUGGGUCAUAGGAAUAGUACUUGCUAUUCCUCUUCUGCAGGAAGUAAUAUGUGUUAUGGACCAGUGGGAGUCCCUGGGUGGUGCAAAUAGUUAAUAUACUCAGCUGCUAACCAAAAGGUUGGAGGUUCAAGUCCACUCAGAGGCGUCUCAGAAGAAAGGCCUGGUGAUCUACUUCUGAAAAAUCAGCCAUUAAAAACACUACUGAGCAGAGUCCUACUUUGACACAGAUUGGGUCACCAUGACUCAGAGUUGACUCAAUGGCAACUAGUUUGGGUAUGGACUAGUGGCUACUGUUACUUUUCUGAAUAGGAGUUUUUAUUGAAUUAAUUUUUUUCUUCUCCGUGAGAUUUUAGGUUACUUUCACUCAUGGAGGGACAAUGUCUAUUUCAUGGAAACAUAGGCAUUUUUUGAACAAUGUGUGGAACAUGGAGUAUGUACGGAUGUUGGGAAGCCACAGAAGCGAACUGUGGAAGAUGAUGGUUGACUGGUUAUCAGCCCAACAAUCUUUCUUCCUUGUCAGUAGAGCCUUUGCUUUGUUUGAGUGUGACUCAGGCUAGAGGACCCUAUUCCUUAUUAUUAGGAUAAAUGCUGUUGUCAUGUGUCAGUUAUUGUAAUUCCAUUUUCUCUGCCAUUGAUUGGUUUUCACCAAUGGAUCUUGAUGAGAAGUGGUGGGUUGCUGAAGAAGGUUUCCCCACGGAGAGAGACAAAGGGAAGACACAACAUCUUCUACUGCUUGAAGUUAUUUCUGGAUGUGACUCUUGGAACUGCCUUAGUCUCCUUGGAUAUAUGGGGUAUUCUCCUGAGGACAGUCUGAUAUGGAAAGAACCCAGGUCCUUGUCAAUGUCACUGCACCAUGAAGCUAACUCAGCUCCAUAUUUCUUGUGAUGGAAAGGAAUUAAUUGUCCUGAUUGUUUAAGCCAGCUGAUUUCGGGCUUGCUGUUACUUGCAUAAUAACUCCCAUGGAGCAAAAAGAAGGGAAAUUGCAGGUGUUGAUGGAAAUUAUUUCCAGAAUCUGUAUCUCAGGGCUGGUAAAUAAAGAUUUGACAACAGCCCUGUGGUUAAAUUAUUGUUAGCUUGCUUGGGAAAAAUUAGAAAAUGGUGUUGUCUUCCAGGAAUUAUGAUACAAAUUGUUAUUUGUCUUUAGAGCCCCUGGAUGCUAUUUGCUGAAAUAAACAAUAUGUGGUCUGAUUAGGUUUUUCUGUGGUCUGAUUGGAAGCUCUGUUCUGAACAGGGCUAGGAGGCUGGUCAUUUAUUUUUCUUUCAUCAUAAGGAGGGAGCUGCCUGUGUCUUCACUUGAGCUGGGCAGCAUAACAAUCUCAAUAAAACUAUCAACUUUGUAAGAACAAUUUCUCUCUGUUGCAAAGUUCCAGACAGCUUGCCUGAACCGCAUCUUUCACCAUCACGCUCAAUAUAUCAUGAGAGAAAGCUACUUCUACCAGGUCACCAGAACUGAUUUCCAACCUACUUUGUAUAAGUAAAAAUAACGUUUUAAAUACAAAACUGGGGACUACACAGCAAUAAGAACGACACUCAACCACAGGCAACAACAUGGGCACAUCUCACAAAUGAAAGAGAACCCAGACACAAAACAUAUCUUGCACAAUUCCAGAAAGUACAAAAGCAGGCAAAAUUAAUCAAUGACAUCAGAAGUCAGGAGAAAGGCUACCGCGAGGUGGUGGUGGUGGUGGUGGGGUACAUGGCUGGGAAGGAGAUAUGUGGGAGCCUUCUGAGUUGCUGUAAAUGUUCUGAUUCUUGACCUGGAUAUUGGUUACAAGGGUAUGUGUAUUUUGUGAAAUGUUAUUUAGUUAUGUAUUUGUGAUUAUACAGGUUUUUUUUUAUGUGUAUGUUAUAAUUCAAUAAAAAGUUGGCCAAAAAUAAUUACAAAACUGAAGCUUAGUGGGUAUUUACUGAAAUUCUAUGUUCAAGAAAGACAUGACAGUGGCAGAAAGUAGGAAGCUAGAGCCAUUGCUUGAUUUUUUUUCUUUUGUAUUCAUUUUAAGUAGUUCCUGAGUGGUACAAAUGAUUAACAAACAUGGCUGUUAACUGAAAGGUUGGAGAUUUGAAUCCAUUCAGAGGUGCCUUUGAAGAAAGGCCUAGUGAUCUACUUCCAAAGUCAGCCAUGGAAAACUUUAUGGAACACAGUUCUACCCUGACACACAUGGGGUCACCAUGAGUAGGAAUGGUCACUGGUUGGUGACCCUCCCCAAUAAAGUUGGUUAAAAAAUGGAAAAUAUUUGGAAAUGUGAAAUAUUAUUAGAAUGUUUAAUAACUGAUUCUAUAGUCUUGGCCAUUCUUUAUAGAAAUUCUGUUUAGGAAAACAAUAGGCUAAUGUUUACAGUUGAGAUCUAUAAGAUUGUCUGCCCAACGUUCACCAUACUUGUUUUUCUAGAAAACACCACGCUCGCCAUCCGUGUUUCUCAUGGGAGUCACCAUAUGUUUUUUCACAUGACCCAUCAGCCUACCCAGAGUUAGCUUGUUUGGGAGCUGGCAUUCAGUCUGGGCUAUUGACUCCUUUGCUUGGGUUUGAGACCAACAGAGUCCCCUCUAGUGUCAGAAGCUGGAAGAUAUACAAACAGGUUGUUUGGUAGACAUUUAUGAAGUCUUGAUUCCUUUGCAACUUAAAAAGUAGUACACAUAGGGAAGCGAUUAAGAGCAUGGACGUGGGGGUCAGAGAGACCUGUUUAAAUCUCAGCUCCUCCACUUACAAACCACAUGUAUUCACUCUUUCUAAACCUGUUUCCUCAUCUGUAAAAUGGGGAUAAUUCUAGAAGAUUAAUUGAAUAACACACUUAAAGCACUCAGCACUCUGGCUGGCACACAGAAAGUGCUCAAUCAAUGUUAGUUAUCGAUAUGACCUUUGUGUUGAUGGAGCUCUAUGCCUCUCUUGAUGCACUGGUAUUAUACUUUCUUAUUUAUAUAUGUGCUUCAUCCUCUAUUAGUCUAUAUUUCUUUAGGGCAGGGGCUGAAACUUACCUAUCUUUAUAAUGCCCUCAGAAAGAGUCUGGUGUCUCAGUGAAAGUUUGCUGAAUUGAAUAUAUAUGUUGUUCUUAGGUGCUGUCGAGUCGGUUCCGACUCAUAGCGACCCUAUGCACAACAGAACGAAACACUGCCCAGUCCUGCAUCAUCCUUACAAUCGUUGUUAUGCUUGAGCUCAUUGUUGCAGCCACUGUGUCAAUCCACCUCGUUGAGGGUCUUCCUCUUUUUCACUGACCCUGUACUCUCCCAAGCAUGAUGUCCUUCUCCAGAGACUCAUCCCUCCUGAUGAAGUAUGUAAGACGCAGUCUCACCAUCCUUGCCUCUAAGGAGCAUUCUGGCUGCACUUCUUCCAAGACAGAUUUGUUCAUUCUUUUGGCAGCCCAUGGUAUAGUCAAUAUUCUUCGCCAACACCACAAUUCAAAGGCGUCAACUCUUUGGUCUUCCUUAUUCAUUGUCCAGCUUUCACAUGCAUAUGAUGCGAUUGAAAACACCAUGCCUUGGGUCAGGCGCACCUUAGUCUUCAGGGUGACAUCUUUGCUCUUCAACACUUUGAAGAGGUCCUUUGCAGCAGAUUUGCCCAAUGCAAUGUGUCUUUUGAUUUCUCGACUGCUGCUUCCAUGGGUGUUGAUUGUGGAUCCAAGUAAAAUGAAAUCUCUGACAACUUCAAUUUUUUCUCCAUUUAUCAUGAUGUUGUUCAUUGGUCCAGUAGUGAGGAUUUUUGUUUUCUUUAUGUUGAGGUGUAAUCCAUACUGAAGGCUGUGGUCUUUGAUCUUCAUUAGUAAGUCCUUCAAGUCCUCUUCACUUUCAGCAAACAAGGUUGUGUCAUCUGCAUAACGCAGGUUGUUAAUGAGUCUUCCUCCAAUCCUGAUGCCCCAUUCUUCUUCAUAUAGUCCAGCUUC